rnacentral:rRNA from 1 species
UACAGAGGGGGCAAGCGUUGUUCGGAAUUACUGGGCGUAAAGGGCGCGUAGGCGGCCCGCUAAGUCGAACGUGAAAUCCCCGGGCUCAACCCGGGAACUGCGUCCGAUACUGGUGGGCUUGAAUCCGGGAGAGGGAUGCGGAAUUCCAGGUGUAGCGGUGAAAUGCGUAGAUAUCUGGAGGAACACCGGUGGCGAAGGCGGCGUUCUGGACUGCUACUGACACUGAGGAACGAAAGCCAGGGGAGCAAACGGG